rnacentral:tRNA from 1 species
AAGGGUUGUGAAACUCUGAAACACAUCUUCUGAUUGCAACUCAGACACUUUGAUUAAGCUAAAACCUCC